UACGUAGGUGGCAAGCGUUGUUCGGAUUUACUGGGCGUAAAGGGCGCGUAGGCGACCACCGCAAGUCGACUGUGAAAUCUCCGGGCUUAACCCGGAAAGGUCAGCCGAUACUGCGGGGCUAGAGUGCAGAAGGGGCAACUGGAAUUCUCGGUGUAGCGGUGAAAUGCGUAGAUAUCGAGAGGAACACCUGCGGCGAAGGCGGGUUGCUGGGCUGACACUGACGCUGAGGCGCGAAAGCUAGGGGAGCGAACAGG
rnacentral:rRNA from 1 species